rnacentral:lncRNA from 1 species
GUGGGAAACAUGAGGAGAGAAAGAGAGAGAGAGAGAAGCAGGGGGAGCGAGAGAGAGAGAGCAAGGGGCAAGAAAGAAAGAGAGAGGCAGGAGAAAAAGAGAGAGGAGGUGGAGAGAGAGGAGGUGGAGAGAGAGGAGGUGGAGAGAGUAUGCAGUGAGUCAGACUAGAGGUGGACGCCACAUUUAGUUUUUUUGUGUUGGGUCUCCACUCCUCCAAGCUUCCACUCUGCCAGCAGGCUAACCGGCUAGUAUCUCUGGAGUGUGUAUUUACUGCAUGUGACUAACUGGUGUUUCUGCUUUGAACAGACUUCAAGAAGCAGCUAACGGGACGGAUGUUCUGCAACUUGACUAACUCUGGUGUGUGUGUGUGUGUGUGUGUGUGUGUGUGUGUGUGUGUGUGUGUGUGUGUGUGUGUGUAUGUGUGUGUGUGUGUGUGUGUGUGUGUGUGUGUGUGUGUGUGUGUGUGUGUGUGUGUGUGUGUGUGUGUGUGUGUGUGUGUGUGUGUGUGUGUGUGUGUGUGUGUGUGUGUGUGAGAGUAUGUGUGUGUGUGUGCGUGUGCGUGUGUGUGUGUGUUCCUACAGACUUUGAAGAGCAGCUGUAUGACACCAAGUUAACAGGCCAGACGUUCCGCCACCCCACAGUGUCGUCCCAGAGUUCUGACGAUACGUCCACCACCCUGAGUCGUUCCCCUGUCUCCCUCAACAACAAGAGACCUGAAUUCAUCUUCCUGCCGGCGUCUAAGGGGCAGGUGUGUGAGGAGGAUGAGACCUCCUCAGUAGGAAUCAAUAGGGGUGUAGACACGUUCCCCUCUCCAUCACCCUGUGGGUCAGAUCGCCCUCUGGUGGUGUGGAGUAGUACCUCUCUAGGACCCCCCGUGGCCGAGAAACCCCGCUGGCACCUGGGACAACGGACACCCGCUCACCUGCUGCCCCUCGACGUCACAGGUGAGGGUAAAAUCCUGGGCGUAGACCUCCUCCAGGGCUCCUGUUCCCCCUCUCUGUCCCUGGGCUGCGGCGUCACCGGUCAGCCCCGGUCUCUGGAGCCCAUCUCAGACACCCCUGUCCAGCACCUUACCCUGAGGAAGACCCACAGUGACCUGGACCCCAGCCUCAGCCUGCCCCAGUCCCCCCGGACGCCCCCUCCUACCAUGGGCACCAUGGACCACUCUGCUACCCUUCUCUGCUCCAACUCCCCGUCUCAGUCCUGGAAUGGCCCUAAAGGCUCUACCUUCUCUCCUGGUGUCUGGAGUGAGGCCUAUAGUUAUAAUUUAGCUCCCAAUCCGCUAGGGAAGGGACCGACGACCAUGCCCAAAACGGUGGGGAUGGUUGG